rnacentral:rRNA from 1 species
AGCAGCCGCCGCGGUAAUACGUAGGUGGCAAGCGUUGUCCGGAAUUAUUGGGCGUAAAGGGCUCGCAGGCGGUUUCUUAAGUCUGAUGUGAAAGCCCCCGGCUCAACCGGGGAGGGUCAUUGGAAACUGGGAAACUUGAGUGCAGAAGAGGAGAGCGGAAUUCCACGUGUAGCGGUGAAAUGCGUAGAGAUGUGGAGGAACACCAGUGGCGAAGGCGACUCUCUGGUCUGUAACUGACGCUGAGGAGCGAAAGCGUGGGGAGCGAACAGGAUUAGAUACCCCUGUAGUCCCUGUCUCUUAUAC